rnacentral:rRNA from 1 species
AUGAACAUCAACACCCCGCCUACCCAAUUAUCGUCGGGUGUCGGGUUGGGUGAUAGCGGACGGGGUAAGGAGGAGGCUCCAUUAGUCGCUGAUGACGUCGCCAUGGAUGAGGAUGAGGACGACGAUGGCGCUGCUGAACAGUAUGUCUAUACUGGCGCCUCCUCAGGGUUUGAGCGUCAUGAGUCGGUGCCUGAAUUGCUGUCUCAACAUAUUAUGGACGACCUUCCGAUAGUAAAGAAGUUUAGGAAGAGAGCGAGGAAAGGCAAAAAAGUUGUUUCUAUGAUCCAGUCGCCUCAGCAGCCUCGGCUUCAGGACCGUAUAGAUAUCCCCGGUGCGGAUAAAUGGCAUAUCCCCGGUCAACCAAUCCUACCUGCAACAGUGCUACGGGCCAGAUUCGGCGAUCUAAAGAGACUUCAUGACGAUGUGCUGCGGGUAGAGAAAGACCUCAUUGCCUCGAAAGAUCUAGGAUACCCACUCUACGUGGUUAACAUUCCGCGGCAAAUGUCGUACGUCGACAGCUUCCCCACGGAUAAGUUCUUCCUCCGAUUCGAUUACAUAUUCGACAUGUUUCACGUGAAGAAGCUGGAUUUUACGUUUUUCCGCCUUUAUGCCUUGCACAUGAACUACAUCAUCGGGGUUGAGCAGAUAUCUCAUAUCUGUGUCGCUGACCCGUACUACAUGCACGAGGGCUUCUUGGGAGUCUGCGCAAAUCAUCGUGAAUACGCGAGGGAUUACAUCAUCAAUUUCAUGCUCGCCAAUAAGGAAAAGGAGGCGAUUCUCGUGCCUUAUCAUCCCGUCGGCGGGCGCGCCGUCCUCUUCAUCCUCUACCCCCGAUUCUCCCACGCUCUUUACUUGGACUCAUCGAAGAACAUUCACAAAAAGGAUUACACCCACAUCAAGGAUGUUCUUGACAGCGCUAUGUUUUACUACCAAGCAAGGGGUGGAGAGGUUCGGGACAAGAAGAGAAGGGGCGGCAGGGUCGCCUUCGGCCAUAAGACCGACUUUUGCUGCAUCAAGCAACCGAACGAUUCUCUUAAUGAUGGAUUCUAUGUCCUACACCACAUGCUGGAGUACAGACGGGAUCACCAGAACCUUCGCAUGUCACCUAGAUCCGGCAAUGCCCAUAUUCUGCAAUGGGCAAAGGACAUAGGAGAUAUCGAGGAUCAUCGACUUCGAGCUGAGUUCUAUAACAUCCAGCGCGAACUUGCCCAAAUCAUCAUGAAGGAGGUCGUCGGAAAAACAAGGAUGUUCUACGGAGAAGGACAAAUGUCGCGGGAAGACGUCCGAACAUGGAUAGCCUCUCAGCGUCUCGACCUGAAGCCUUUCACUAGGCUCGGGGACUAUCUCCCUGACUUGGAUGGAUGGAACGACAUGUUGGAGUGA